rnacentral:rRNA from 1 species
UUUGCUGACGAGUGGCGGACGGGUGAGUAAUGUCUGGGAAACUGCCUGAUGGAGGGGGAUAGCUACUGGAAACGGUAGCUAAUACCGCAUAACGUCGCAAGACCAAAGAGGGGGACCCUCGGGCCUCUUGCCAUCGGAUGUGCCCAGAUGGGAUUAGCUAGUAGGUGGGGUAACGGCUCACCUAGGCGACGAUCCCUAGCUGGUCUGAGAGGAUGACCAGCCACACUGGAACUGAGGCACGGUCCAGACUCCUACGGGAGGCAGCAGUGGGGAAUAUUGCGCAAUGGGCGCAAGCCUGAUGCAGCCAUGCCGCGUGUAUGAAGAANGNCUUC